GGGGGGUGUGACCCCACGCUUGCUGGGAGGUGUGAUCCUGCGUUUCCUGGAAGGUGUGAGCCCAUGCCUGUU
rnacentral:pre_miRNA from 1 species